rnacentral:rRNA from 1 species
UACGAAGGGGGCUAGCGUUGCUCGGAAUUACUGGGCGUAAAGCGCACGUAGGCGGAUUGUUAAGUCGGGGGUGAAAUCCUGGAGCUCAACUCCAGAACUGCCUUCGAAACUGGCGAUCUUGAGUCCGGGAGAGGUGAGUGGAACUGCGAGUGUAGAGGUGAAAAUUCGUAGAUAUUCGCAAGAACACCAGUGGCGAAGGCGGCUCACUGGCCCGGUACUGACGCUGAGGUGCGAAAGCGUGGGGAGCAAACAGGG